CACCCGCGGCAUAUGGAGGUUCCCAGGCUCAGGGUUGAAUUGGAGCUGUAGCCACCGGCCUACACCACAGCCACAUUGAUGCCAGAUCCGAGUCGCAUCUGCAACCUACACCACAGCUCAGGGCAACACCAGAUCCUUAAUCCACUGAGUGAUGCCAGGGAUCAAACACGUGUCCUUAUGGAUACUAGUUGGGUUUGUUAGCCACUGAGCCAGGAUGGGAACUCCGUUUUUUAAUUUUUAGCUUUUUUGAAAACAUUACAUUCCAAUGUGAGCGACCAAAAAAAAAAAAAAAAAAAAAAACCAGUCAUAUUUACAUGUAUUAAAUAUAAGUCAAAAACACAUUUACCAAGCAUUUAGUAAAAUUCAAACAGCAGGCUGGAAACUGAAAUAUGAACAUGGGCAGGUAAACCCUCUGAGCUGCAGGAGCUCAACAGCUAGUGGCUUUCACUCCAGUGGGAACUUUGUUAUGGGAAAAAGCCACUUCUAAUAUUUUAAUUCUGCAUAACCAUGAAGAGUUACUGAUUGUGACUGGGGCCAUGGGCCACUCUCCUGCCUGCACUAGGAUAAAGGCAUGGCUGGGACAAGACAUUACCAAUCCCUGCUAGCCACCUUACCAUCACCUUACACUCUUGGUGACUUUCUCGCUCCAUCUGCUCUUGCAGAAUCACUACUGGGAUUCGGGCUUGUAGGAAUACCUUAUAUAAGUGAAAGGAUCAUAAAUAAGUCCAGUAAUACAGAUCUAGGUUUAAACAGUAAGUCCAUUCCUGAUUAUUCAUUUUACCAAAAGUUUCAUAACUAAUUCCUUUAAGAGGCAAACUCCUCUUCUACAUUUGAAACUAUGAUCUUUUGCAUUAAAUGUUUAUAGUUGACAUACUAAUCCUUAGGAAUACAAGUAUUACAGAGAAGUAUAGUUAUACCUUGGCAGCAGUGAAAACUGCUAUUAAUUCUGUGAAGUGAAAAAAUAAGAAUAUUGGAACUGGGGAUUUCACGAAGAUCAAAAUCUGUAUCAUAGAAACUGAAGCGGUGAAUUACGGCAAAACGAGAAAGGAAAGAGGGAGGGAUUCAUUUGUCAUUUCCUCGAGGAUGGACCCAGGAGAAGGAAAAGGAGACGUAUUUGUCCAUUUCCCUAUUACCACAGGGAAAGCUUUUAGAGUAUAUUGCAUUUUUUAAAUGCCUUUUCCAUUUUCUGUUCAUGAUUGUGUAUAUAGGUAUAUAAAUUAAAAAAAAUACUUUCGGUAAAUAUCACUACCUAAUAUAUAUAAUGCUACUAUAGCCGAUCUCUCUAGCCAUCUACCUAUCACCAUCUAUCAUCUAUCUAUCUAUCUAUCUAUCUAUCUAUCUAUCUAUCUAUCUAUAUCAUUUUUUAUCUAUCAUCUAUCAUCUAUCAAUUUAUCUAUCACCUAUCUAUUUAUCAUCUUUCUAUUGUCUAUCCGUCUAACUAUCUAUCAAUCAUCUAUUUAUAUAGCCAUUCAUCUUUCUAUUCAUCCAGCAUAAAUUCUCUGGAUGAAGAUUAUUACCUUUUAUAAGAAAAUCUCUCAAUUUCUAAUUCUAGGCCACUCUGGAAUUUGGAGUCACAAAAAUCACUCCCAGGAGUGGCUCAGGACCCGACAUGGUCUCUGUAAGGAUGCAGUUUGAUCCCUGGCCUCACUCAGCGGGUUAAGGAUCCAGUUCGCCUCAAGCUACAGCAUAGCUCACAGAGGCCGCUCAGAUCCAGUGUUGCUGUGGCUGUGGUGUCGGCCUGUAGCUGCAGCUGCAAUUCGACCCCUGGCCCAGGAAAUUCUUAUGCCGUAGUUGUGGCCAUAAAGAAAAAAAAAUCACUCCCAAAGUAAAAGAUUACUGUGAGUCGUUUCCCUUUUUCAACAUAUGACACUUCAGGGCACUUCAGCAAAUCAAAUGGCAACAGAGUCCUUGCUACACAAGAGCUACACGAGGCAGUAACCACACACACGCACACGUGCCCGUGCCCCAUCUUCUUAGAGUUCAUCAUCUCCUGAAGCGAGAGAAGCCCAACAUCUGAUCCAGUCGCCCGUCAGAGCUGGAUUCAGGAGGAUGAGCUUCUGCCGCAGGCAUGAAGGGCUCAGGCGGGUUUGGGCCCAGCGGACCUGCAUCCGCUACAUGGCGAGCUGAGCCGCACGCCCCAGACUCAUUAAUCAGUGUGUCAAGAGGUGAACAUUCCUCUCUCUUUUGAGUUUUCCCUUGGUUCUGAGGAAAAUACCGCUGCCUCACUCUCUUCUGGAAUAGCCGUGAGUGGCCCAGUCUUCUAGGUGCUACUGCCCCUUGGGGACAGGCUCUUUAGCACGCGUGGCUCCAGGCCACAGGUGACCAGCCUGGCUCGCGGCCUAACGCCCGUCCAUGGACCACUAACCCCAUGGCCCAGCUGCCCGUGUUGCGGGAGGCCACGAAAUCCCGCAGCACAUCAGUGGACUUCAUCCAGGGUGUGCCACGCACGACCUUGCGAUCCCAGGGAGCUGCAGCAGGGAAGCAGUGAGAGCCGUUCAAACCGAGAGCUUAUCCCUUUUCCCAAGGGAGCAAGAGUCACAGCCCAGGCAGGAUGUCUCUCGGGCCCCCGCAGAGGGCACUGCUGGGUGGUGGGGAAGUAAGAAAAACACACAGGGCCCACCCCAGUGACUGCCACGGACAGGCCUCUGGUCCAGGUGCCUGGGUACCGUGUCCUGAACCUAAGGUCUAAUUUUGGUGGUUUUGUGGCCUGGAGGAGUUUUGGCAGCAAUUACACGUGCUUGGCUCAAAAAUGAAGCAUAUGUCCAGCAGGGCCUGAUAUAAUUUUCUGAUAAAGUUUACAUCCUGAGCAGGGAGCUCAGAUUAAAAAUAUCCUGCAUUGUGUGGUGUCCGGGUGUGACUGCAGCUCAGUGCUGAGCUGGCCCUGACUGGCCUUUGUGCAGGUGCCUGCCAGGCUAUGGCUGGCUGGCUACAGGCACACUGGCUGGCAGUGCAGUUCUCCUUCUUCAAUGAUGCCCUUUUACCUGGAAUACACAGUCGAUGACUAAAAUCAUUAAAUGAUGGGAGUUCCCCUCGUGGCUCGGUGGUUAACGAAUCUGACUAGGAACCAUGAGGUUGCGGGUUCAUCCCUGGCCUCCCUCAGGGUGUUGGGGAUCCGGCAUUGCCGUGAGCUAUGGUGUAGGUAGAAGACACAGCUUGGAUCCGUGUUGCUGUGGCUGUGGUGUAGGCCGGCAGCUGUAGCUCUGAUUCGACCCCUAGCCUGGGAACUUCCAUACGCCACGGGCUCAGCCCCUAAAAAGCAAAAUCAAUCAACCCAUCCAUCAUUACAUGAUGAAAAGCACCAUUUCCCCCAUUUAAAAAGUUUUGUUGAAAUAGAGUUGAUUCACCACGUUGUGGUCAUUUCUGCUGUACCACACACUGAUUCAGUGGUACACACACAGACCCCUUCUUUUUCCGUUUCUUUUCCCAGGGAGGCGGUCACAGAAUAUUGGGCAGAGUUUCCCGUGCUACACAGCACGUCCCUGUUGACCUUCCAUUCCAGACACACUCGUGAAAAAGCACCAGUUUUUGCGUUGCUCGAAUCUGGAUUCAAAUCCCAGCUCCACCACUACGCAAAUGGGUGAAACUGAGCAAGUCACGUCGGCUCUGAGCCUCAGCUUACUCAUCAGUGAAAUGGGAGAAAUAUCACCCUACUCAGGGCCUUCUUUUGAGGAAUAAAUGAGAUCAUGUGUUAAAGCUGCUCGUCAAGGAAAUGAGCAUGACCAGAGUGUAAGGAAUCCUAGUUAUUCCUAUUGGCAAAUCUGUUGCCAAAGCUCCUUUCUGUGAGCUGGGUGCUA
rnacentral:lncRNA from 1 species